rnacentral:lncRNA from 1 species
AAAAAUGAACACAAGGAUUUUUUCGGCCGAAGCCCCAAAGGUUCGGCGACCACUUCUAAUGCCUAAUCCCCUAUUGAGCAUCCAUUAAAAUAGAUAAAGCUCGGUUGCACUACAAAACCCCAAAAUUAGGCACCAAAAAUUACAAGAAUGUUUCAGCAAUUACAAGAAAUAAAGUCACCAAGACUUAUCUUUAAAAUGAAGCACAAAUCAAGCCUCACUCCACUACGGAAUCAAGAAACCCGGAUCACACAGGUCACAAAAACAAACUGCCCUCUUCGAACCACAGAAGAAUGAGUGCUAAUACACAGUGUAUCACUUUCUACCGAGAGACUAUAUACAAAAUCACAAAGAUUUCAUAGAAAUUUGAACUUCCAACACAAAUCACGUAGAUUCAUACACCAUACCCAAAACCCAGUAAAUUAACACAAGUAAAUGGAGUAGAACUUCAUCAUCCCUCAAGUAUACACCUGAGAAUCACUCAAAAUUGGCUUGAAUAUGUGAAGAAGAGGGAUUUCAUACACAGAGAAGAAGAGAGAUGAAGAGGUGAACUCAAACCCUAGAGAAAAUCUCUCAAAUCUGAAAAUGUAAGAAUAAAGUCUCUCUCUCCAAUCUAAAAAAUCACGUUCCCAGUAGAGAGUCACAAGAUUUCAUGAUUGGAAGUCUCUAGAAUCUGAUCGGAUGGUCAUCAUGAUGCCAGGUGUCGAAAUCUUGUUACUUGGCACAACUAAUAGAGUUGUCAUUUUGAAAAGACGUUUUUCUCCACAGAUUUUUGGAAGCACACUUGACAAAAUAAAAAUCAGCAGUUUGAAUUCUCAACAAUCUCCACCUUGCUUCCAAAAUUUAGGCCUAUAGUGCAACCAGGAGCUUUACCAACAUUUAUAAUUUUAUUUUCUCUAUUAUACCCGUACAAUCAAUGAAAAGAAUAAGUAGAUAACAUCUUUAAACAGUUUUGAAACUUAUUUAAAGGCAUCACCUUAGUUCCCAUAUCGGAUGGAUUAUACAAAGUAGGUAUUUUAUUAAUUUUCAGCAAACCUUUUGAAAUAAUAUCCCUUAUAAAAUGUUAUUUUACAUCAACAUAUUUUGUUCUAUCAUGAAGCAUGGGAUUCUUACUCAAAUGGAUUGCACUUUGAUUGUCAGAAUGUAGUGUUGGAUUAGUAUAUACAAAACCAAGUUCAUUUAACAAAUCAUGAAGCCUUAUGCCUUCUUUAAUGGCAUCAGUGGCAGCAAUAUAUUCAGCCUCAGUGGAAGAUAGAGCAACAAUUUUUUGUAACUGAGAUUUUCAACUUAUCACAGUACCACACAAAGUGUAAAAAUAAGAUGAAGUUGAUUUUCUAUUGUCUCUAUUUCCACCAAAAUCAGAAUCUGUAUAACCCUUUAAAAUUACCCACCCCCCCUUUGUCCAUUUUAAACAUCAAACCCAAGUUGUAUGAACCCUUUAAAUAUCUCAAUAACCACUACAAGGCUUCCCAAUGAGUUUCACCAGGAUUUCCAAUAAAUAUACUCAAAACACUAAUACUAAAAACCAAAUUAGGUCUGGUACAAAUCAUUAAAUACAUAACUGAACCAAUAGCAUUAGACAUUCUUUCAAGUUCAUCUUCAAUUUUUGGACACGAAUCAAAUGUUAAAAUAAAGUGAUUGGCAAGGGUUAAAGUCACAGAUUUACAAUCAAACAUAUUAAACUUCUUAAGGAUCUUAUUCACAUACUCUUCUUGACAUAAAAACAAACAAUCAGAUUUUUCAUCUCUUAUAAUAUGCAUGCCAAGUAUUUUCUUAGCGGAACCAAGAUCCUUCAUAUCAAAUUCUGAUUUUAAUUUGUGUUUGAUAUCAUCGAUUUCAGAUUUAUUGGCACUAGCAGGAAGCAUAUCAUCAACAUAAAACACAAGAUACAAAGAAUCUUUACCUCCAUUUCCUUUACAAAAAAGACAUGUAUCAUAAUUGCUUCUACUAAACCCAAACUUCAAGACAAAUGAAUCGAAUCUUUUAUAACCAUACAAAGAUUUUUUCAACAAACUAUCUUUUUAGGAUUUCCUUUAAUAAAUCCUAAAGGCAAUUUCAUGUAGAUCACUUCAUCCAAUUCACCAUAUAAAAAUGCAGUUUUUACAUCUAGUUGAUCAAGUUUUCACUUAAAUUGCACAACCAAAGCAAGAAUACAUCUUAUAGUUGUAUAUUUAACAACGGGGAAAAAAAAUCUCAUUUUUGUGUGAAACCCUUGGCAACAAGUCUAGCUUUGUAUCUAACAUUGUUAGUGCCACCUUCCCCUUCCUUUAUCUUAUAAUCCACUUGCAAUCAACCAGCUUCUUAUCCUUAGGUCUAUCAACCAAUUCCCAAGUUUUAUUUUUGUAUAGGGAAGACAUCUUGUAACGCCCCGACCCCUUGUGGACCGAAACGCUACUUAUUUUACUUAACUAAUUGCUGGUUUAGUCAUAGGAGAAUAUGUUUUAGCGGAAGCUUAAUUUUUACAAAUGAUAAUUUUAACAACAACCUUUCGAAUACUUUAAAUAAAACACUAAAUAAAAAAAACGGAACGUAAUUUAUUUGAAGAAAACACGACUUGUUCUCGCGUUCAGCAUUAUUCAAAUAUUUUAAAGCAAUAACAUUGAAAACAUUCACAAAAAUAAAUCUAAAUAACUUGUUCAUCGAGUUUUCCAUGGGCUCAUUACACCACUCUCCAUCUUUUCCAUCAUUUAGGCCCAAGGUAGAAUCAUAUCAAUCUGUAGAGAAGGGGUUAAACCCGUGAGUUAAAAAAACUCAAUAGAUAUUAUUGGUGCAUUCGUGAUCAAGCUAUACAUUUCAAAGCUGUAACUUGAGAAACCUUGUCAUAGUAGGAUUUUCGGUAGAAUCCCAAACACGUAGAGUCAUGACUUAACACGACGCCUCGACCGAAAAUACAUGUCGUACCCGGAGGUACCAUUAGACGUGGAGGUAUAUGCCAUAUCGGAGGUACCAUUAGACAUACAAAUAUUAACAUAAAUCUUCAUUUGCUAGAAACUUAUAACUUAACACGAAUUAAUAUUUUGCACCUCUACCUACCUUGAUUGAUGCUUUGAAUCUUGUUGAAAAAUACACUUCUUUGAUGUUUCAAAAAAAAUACACUCCGUUGAGAAUUGAUACUUGGAAAAUACUUCUUGAUAGCACCAAAACUUCUAGGAAAAACUAAUUUUCCUCCCUCUCCUUUCUCUUUUUUCUAGACUUGAAAACUCUCUCUUUUAUGCUUAGAAGCUUUUGUCUUGGUGUGAAAAAUGUGUAUGUAUUGAGGCCUAUUUAUAGGUGAAAAUCUCACAACUUAAGGGCAAGUGAAGGGCCUAAUACUCAUUAAUACGGGUGCCAUUUAUGUGAGAGUUAUAGGUUUAAGAAGGUGCUAGAAAAUCGUGUAGGAAUUUGACUUUUCAUAUUCCGCGUACUUCGGUUGAUACUGUACAGCUUUUAGUAUUUCUAUUAUAACUUCUUCUCCCGAUAUCCGAUUGAAGUAAUUCAAAGUGAGUUGGAAACCUAACUCAAAGAGUUACAACUUUUAUUUAGAUAUUAUUUUCCAAAUCGAAUGUUUUCUAUGUCGUGAAUAGGUCUCAAAUGAGACUAAAAAUCUGAAGUAUACUUUAGCCUUCCAAUAUUCAUGUCUUAGUGCCACUAAGGUGUUUAAAAUUAUUUGGGGUUCUACACAUCUCUUCUUCCAUAGCACUCAACCACCGCUUAGAAUCUUUAUAUUUUAAGGCUUCAUGAUAAGAACUAGGUUCAGAUUUAUCUAGAGGUGUGUUAUCAUCAUUAUACUGCUCAGGUUCAGCCAAAUCAGGCUCGUUUUCACUCUGAUCAGCUUCAUUAGUGCUAUUUUUAAAGGGACAGAACUCGUAUUAUCAAUUUUAAUAGGCUCUACCUCAAUUUGGACAUCAUUUUCAGUCAAAUUUCCCUGUUUCCCUUCCAAACAUGGUAUACAUGACUCAUUAAAUAUCACAUCCCUUCUUAUGGUAACUCUGUAACCUUUUCCCCAUAAACCCAAAGCCUAUAUCCUUUAACAUUUUCAACAUAACCCAAAAACACACAUUUAAGGGAUCUAGGUUCAAGUUUCCCUAUGUAUUGAUGAGCAUAUGCAGCACAACCAAAUGUUUUCAAGUAAGAAUAGUUCACAGGGUUUUGUGUCCACAUAGAUUUAGGCAAAUCAAAAUUUAAAGCAUUUGUAAGACUUCUAUUAAUCAAAUAUUCAACAGUUUUAAUAGCUUCACCCCAAAAUAAUUUGGGUAAAUUGGAACUCAAAAGCAUGCAUUUAGCUUUAUUCAACAAAGUCUUAUUCAUUUUUUCUGCAAUGCCAUUUUGCUGGGGUGUGUAGGUCACAGUUCUAUGUCUUAAAAUGCCAUUCAACUUGCAAAAAUCAUUAAACUCAUAAUUGCGAAAUUCUAGACCAUUGUCGGUUCUCAAAGUUUUGAUUUUCAAACCAGUUUGAUUUUCAAUUUGGGUUUUCCAAUCUUUAAAUGUGGCAAAUGUUUCAUCUUUAGUUUUCAAAAGAAAUACCCAAAUUUUUCUAUAGAAAUCAUCAAUUAUAAGUAAGUAAUACUUGUAACCAGACAAUGUAGGGGUGGAUGCAGGGCCUCACAAAUCAGCUUGUAAGUAUUCUAGAAUUCGCUUUGAUUUAUGAGUACUAAUGGGAAAAGGUAACUUAACUUGCUUUCUAGUCAAACAUUGUUCACAUUUAGACAAAUCACCAAUAUUUGAUUUUUCAAAUACACCUUUAUUUUGUAAAGUCUUUAAACCUUUUUCACCAAUGUGGCCAAGUCUACAAUGCCACAAUUUUGCAAGAUUAAAGUUAUCAUCUAAAGUUGUUGCUGAAAGGCCCAAAAAAGGUUUUGCAUUUAAAAAGUAUAAAUCAUAUCUCUUUAGGAUAGAAGUGAUCAAAUCACUACCCCUAAAGAUUUUUAUGUGUCCUUGACCUUAUUUUAUGUCAAACUCCAUGUCAUCCAACAUUCCUAGAGACACAAGGUUUCUUUCUAAUUCAGGAACAAAUCUGGCAUCUUUUAACAAUAAAAUUCUACCAUUUUCUAAGAGCAAUUUUAUGGUUCCGAUACCUUUCACUUUACAGGUCAUGUUGUUUUCCAUGAUAAUUUGGUCCCCUUUAGUUUAUUCAAAGUCCAAAAAAUAGUUUUUAUUAGGACACAUGUGGAAAGAGCAACCUGAAUUAAGAAUUCAUUCUUGAUUUAGGUUUCUUUCAACACUUACAAGAACCAAGCCAUUAUCAAAAUUUUGCUUAUCAUAGGACAAAACAGCAUUACCCUCAUUUAACUUCUUUCCUUUUAAAUCAUUUUACUUUUGUAGCAAUCUUUUGCAAAGUGACCUAACUUACCACAAUAAUAACAUUUCUUACCCUUUCCCUUAGUUUUAGAUUUCAUUUUGUCAUUGUUUCUUCUCUUAGGUUCAUUUUGAAAAUAUGAAUGAAAAUUAGAUUUAUCAACAUUUUUGCCUUUUAUCAAAAGAUUUUCUCUACUUUGUUGGUUGAAAAAUCUUAUUUUAAUUCAAGAACCCUAUUUCUUAAGGCAUUUAUAAUGAUAUAGGUGGUAAGCUUUUUUCUACCAUAUUAUAAGGCAUUCUUUAGGUCUUUAUGCCUAUCACUAAUGGAGUUUAACAAGACCACAGCCAGUCGAUCUUCUGAUAAUUUCUCAUCACAGUUGGCAAGGUCCUUGGUCAAUUUGGUAUAUAUGUCCAAGUUCUCAUCUAAGUCAACAGAAGGAUCUAUUUUGAAAGAAAAGAAUUGUUUUAGCAAAAAACAUUUGUUUGGAACAGCUUUUGGCUCAUAUUGGGCUUUCAAUUUAGUCUACAAUUCUUCAGGAGUUUUAGCUUCACCUAUAGACCUAAUCACAUUGUCUGAAAGGUACAAGAAAAUAGUACUCCAUGCUAUUUCUUCUAACUCAAUUCUUUUUGUAGCAAACAUUUCAGCAGGCCAAAAAUUAUCGAAGGCUUUAGCACAUUUCAUUUGCAUCAAGAUAGCCCUCAUUUUUUGGCUCCACAUAUUAAAGUCCCCCCUCUCAUCAUACAUGCUCAUUUCACACUUAGCAGUAGCCAUGACAAGAUUCACCAAGACAGUUCACAGAAUACAAGUUUGAAUUCAAGAACACACAAGGAUACAUAAUAAUAGUACUGUAGGCAGAACAGGGGAUUUGGGGUCAGUGACCAAUGCACUUAUAUUAUUUUCACAAAAUGGUAAACACUUAACACUAAGUAUAGAAGGCAUAAUCACAAAGAAUAGAGAUGACAAUCCUAUGCCUCAACUAUCUUCUCCAGCAAGACCUUCCAAUUGCAUUCCUACUAGUAUUGUUAUCUCAGAUUCCCAAGACUUCUUGAGUCUUUAGACAAAGACCAACCAUAGUAGGUUUUGUUAGUGCAAGGUAAAUCAAGGGAAAAAUUAGGAGACCCUACUGUAAAGAUUAAUUGCAGAAUGUAGGAAAGAUCUCACCAAUUAGUUUGAUAAAACUCAAUUUCCACCAGCUAAUGUUUAUUGCAGGUUUCAGGAAUAGGGUUUAAUCAAGAAAUCACAAAGCUCCAGUAGUCCAAGUUGCUCUGAUACCACUGAAAAGUCGAGAGAUAUCAAUAUUAACCAAGAUUCCAAAAAAUACAAUCACAAAAUGAAAAUAAAGUGCAAGAAAUAAAAAUGAAAACAAGGAUUUUUUUGGCCGAAGCCCCAGAGGUUCGACGACAACUUAUAACGCCUAAUCCCCUCUUGAGCAUCCAUUAAAAUGGAUAAAGCUCGGUUGCACCAUAAAUCUCCAAAAUCAGGCACCAAAAAUUACAAGAAUGUUCCAACAAUUACAAGAAAUAAAGUUACCAAGACUUAUCUUUAAAAUGAAACACAAAUCAAACCUCACUCCACUAAGGAAUCAAG